UACGUAGGGGGCAAGCGUUGUCCGGAUUUAUUGGGCGUAAAGAGCGUGUAGGCGGCUAGAUAGGUCCGUUGUGAAAACUCGAGGCUCAACCUCGAGACGUCGAUGGAAACCAUCUGGCUAGAGUCCGGAAGAGGAGAGUGGAAUUCCUGGUGUAGCGGUGAAAUGCGCAGAUAUCGGGAAGAACACCCGUGGCGAAGGCGGCUCUCUGGGACGGUACUGACGCUGAGACGCGAAAGCGUGGGGAGCGAACAGG
rnacentral:rRNA from 1 species